CACUAAUGCCUUUAGCUUUGUUACGCCGUGGUACCAUUGAAAAGCUUUCAGAAAUUAUUGGGGGGCGGUGGGGGUUGGGGGAUUGCCUGUUGUCUCCGGUCACUAACGGCUAGUUACACAUUCAAAAUUUACGUGAACACACAGGCAUGCAGUUAAUAAAGAUGUAGAACUAGAAGAAGUAUAUCUUAUCUGUCCGACUCAGAGCAAUGCUCUCUAGUCCUUUCGAAUAG